UACUAUAACAAAUUUAGAAAGUGAGGUAGGUGAAACAAAUAUAUAGAUGCGAUACAAACACCUUAAGUUUCAUUAGAGUGUUGUGAAAGAAGAAACAAUAAAAAAUAUUGAUGUUUAGAAUACAAAAGACCAUACAUAAAUUUAACUUAACUGUAACAACAGACAUAUUAUAUAUAUGCGCGACUAUUUCACCAUCAUCGCUGGUAUGUAGUUGGCUANUGCGGUAACUCUUUACUUGUGAAACCACUUGAAUUGAACAGAAAUAUACAUGUAAAUCUAUAUUAAGAAAAAUUGCAGCAAACUUACUUCCUGCUUUACACUGGCACAAGAAGACAAUUUAAAUUAUCAUCAGCCUCCUUCAUGUUUCACUUUAAUUUGGUCGAUAAUAUAGAAGUCAAAGUUUUUACGGAGCAUGUCACUCGAAAUUGACUUAUUAGAUUGGAGAUCAGUCAACACUUUAUAACUCAAUAAGUUGUAUUCCAAAUUACAGCAAUCUAGACCCAAAUCUUAGAUAUAUGCUAUAAAAGCUUGUCUAUACCUUAAUAGGACUUAUAUAAAAACAACAUUACAAGAUAGGCCAUUGGCAUCAAACAUCAUUUGCAGCAAAGAAAUUUGAGUGCUCGACCACCCAAAUUCACUACAGAAAAUGUAUAUAACAACAUAACCUACUCUUAAAUAUGAAAAAAAUAAUCGUCGAAAUAUGAAAAACAAUAUUAAUACCAAAAAAAAUCGUGCCAUGGGUUGUUUAAAUCAUUGAAAUAUGAAAAAAAAUAUUGAAAGGAAAAAUCAAAGAUCCACAACCGUAUAUAACAACAUAGGCUACUCUUAAAUAAUUGUCUCCACAAAAACUCCACAUUUUCACAUUCACAACACUUGAAAUUUGAAGAAAAAUCAAUACACAAUAUUACUUAGGCAUUUGAUUGAAUAGUUGAUACACAAUAGCAUAUUUGAAUAAAAAACAUCCCUCGCCGGCAAUCUCACACAAUGAAAUAUAACCAACACUUUAGCAACACAAUCAAUAAUUCAGCAAGAACAGUUUCAACCACAUGUUUAGUUCAAUGUUCUUUCACCAAAAAAUUAACAGUAAUAAAUAAAAUGCGAGUAAAUCUUAGAGAACAUACCUCAAAAAUUGAAUAUUGAUAAGCCGAAGAUGACGGUGAAUGAGAAUUAAAUGCUGAGACAACGAUGAAAUCAUUACUAAUUGGUGAUUGGAAUCUGAAACUGAUUAGGGAUCAACAUAUUCUUUAACAUGUAAUGAGAAUAGAAGUUGGCUGAUUAUAGGCUUCUAAUGGGAAUGAGAAUGGAAGUUCUUCUGUAACAGGUAUUGAGAAUGGGAGUUGGCUGAUUGUAGGCUUCUAAUUGGGGCUGACAGUGUGCUAAUUAUUGAAAUCCGAAAGCAUCUGAGGGAAUGAGAAUGGAAAAUUGGGAGAAUAAAGGAGAAUUGAGAAUGAGACUAUCAGUGAAUUUUGAGGGCUGCCACGUGGGCGAACCCCAUUUUCGUAUUAUAAAGAAGAUUGUAAUAUUUUUCCCCAAAAUAGGGAAAAAAGAUAUUCCAUUAAAAAAAUUUUACAGUUGAUUUGGUUUUGAUCGUACCGACAAUGGAGUUCAGAAGCAGCUGCCAUUUCUCAAACUGAGUGUUGAACUCACCAACCUUUAGCCAACUCUGCUUCUAGUUUAUCAAACACUGGAAAAGCAAUCCCCUAAAAAUAUAUUUUUGGGUCAAGAGCCAUAUAUUAAUAUACUUGGAUAUAAUAACAGAUUUAAUACCUCCCCGUAGGCAACAAAACCACAAAUAAAACACAUCCAAAGAUUUUCUGAAGUUUGACAAACAUAACAUACAGAUUUCUCAGGCUGUUGUUGGCAGUACCAGCAUACCUAUAGAAGUCAAAAUACAUGACAUUAGUCUUGAUCCAAGUCCCAAAGGCAUUUAUAACUUAAAGUAAAGCACAUGACAGUAACAUAGCUAAGUAGCAACAGCAGAUCGAAUGUGAUUACUGAUUAGUACAGUAUGUAUCGAAAAGAGAGUACACAAGAUCUGCCUGACUGAGUUAAUUAAGAAAGUAAAUUCAUUCACAAGGUCUAAGAAAGGUUUUGAAUUGUGAUGUUUCAUCCCCUUGGAUACAAGUUUGUCUUAAACUCAACUCACACAUAUGAUGCCCAGAAACACCUACCAACAGUUGACUACAUCUAAAUGAUGCAAAGCAACAAAAAAAUGUUCUCUUCACUUCUAUAGAUGCUCAGGCAUGACACUAAUAAAUCCUAUAAUAUCAUGGUAGGAACAUUAGCACCCACCGGGUAAGAAAAAUCAGUCCAUUUAGACAUACAUAUUUAUAUAUAUAUCAAACGCAUGAAAUGAUCUAAGAGAGAUAUUCAAUUAGCAAGAUAGCAUUCACUUCCACAAUCUAAGCAUUUUGCAAAAUUUUCAUCAUUAUAAAAAUAUAAGAGAAAAUUAAAAUUCACCCACCCUUAUAUCAUUUUUCUCGUGAAAAAUAAUAACUAUAGCUCAUCUUCCAUUCGCUUCACCCAUAUGUACUGACAGGGAUCGGGAGACAUGGUCGAAGCCAAGGGAAAGUGACAUUCUUAGUUCCACUUCCACGUCUUCUGUCUUGAGUUAAAUAGACCGUUGCUAAAGGAGAUUUACCGUUAAGAAAGAAAACAAACUUCCUCUUGAUUUGGCUGUCCAGUGUUCUUAAGUUUCCUUUGGCCUACUCCUUAGGAGAACUAUAGGUACAACACUAAAGCGUUAAUACCAUCCCUCGGGAGGUUGGAGUCCUGGCCUGGAUAGACAAUAUCAGUACAUAGAUCUAUUACAAUAUUCCUAUGUAAUACUGAGAUUUCUGGUAAUUCCCAUAAAGACUUGAGAGAGAUUAGACAGAAAACAACAUGAAGAAAUCAGGUGAAAUAAAAGGGAAAACCCCUUCUCAGCAAGAGAAAAACAACACAAGUUCAUAAGAGAAAGAUAGCACAAGUUCAUAAGUUAUUGAAGCAAUUAAAAUCAAACUAAUCAUAAAGGAAUCAAUAUAUUGAAUUUUGUGAAGCAGAUUCAACCAAACAAAAAUGGAAAAAGAGAAAUUUAACACCGCUCUCCAAUCAGAAAUUGAAGGCCAUACCUUUCUGAGUGUAAGCGAGGGCGGGGCCAGCGAUUCCGGCACCCACAAUGACUAUGCCGUCGUUUCUCUUCUGCCCUAGCGUCGCCGCCUUGCCGGUUAGUUCAGACAAUAGGGAAGGAGAUAGGACGGAGGAGGAGAGUCGCCGCCUAAAGCCGUGCCCGCAAUGGAGUCGCGCCGCCUGGAGUCGGGAAAGAUAUUAUUGAAUCACUCCCAAAAUUGUGCUAUUGAUAUUGACAUGGAUUGGGGAGGAAGAUUGACAGAAUCACGCAAUUGAAACGAUGAUUGAUGAAACUGAUUCAAUUAUUGUUGUGGGGUGCGAAAUUAAGGAGUUUUGAUUUGGUGUAUGCUGAUUCCCGUGAGAAUCUACGUGAGUUACAAAAUGGAGAGAAAAGAAUAUGUAUACGAGUAGGGAUGGCAACGGGCCGGAUCUGGACCG
rnacentral:lncRNA from 1 species